UCUUGCAGUAAUUUGAGAGGCAACAAGCUUACUGGUUCAAUUCCAAAUACUUUAAAGGAGAAGUCAGAUUUGGAAAUGAGUUUGGAUGGUAACCCUGAUCUUUGCUUGACGGAUCGAUGCAAAAAACACAAGUUCGCUAUUCCCCUAAUACCCUCUGUCUCUGCUUUGAUUGUUGUAAUCUUGGUUUUGCUUGGAACAUGGAUCUUUAGGAUAAGAAGACUGAAAGGGGAUUUUACUGGGCAUGAAUCAUCAAAAUUAAGAAGUAAAGCAUUU